UACGUAGGGUGCAAGCGUUAUCCGAAAUUAUUGGGCGUAAAGAGCUCGUAGGCAGUUUGUCGCGUCUGCUGUGAAAACUGGGGGCUCAACCCCCAGCCUGCAGUGGGUACGGGCAGACUAGAGUGCGGUAGGGGAGACUGGAAUUCCGUGGUGUAGCGGUGAAAUGCGCAGAUAUCAGGAGGAACACCGGUGGCGAAGGCGGGUCUCUGGGCCGUAACUGACGCUUGGAGGAGCGAAA
rnacentral:rRNA from 1 species